UACGGAGGGAGCAAGCGUUGCUCGGAAUUACUGGGCGUAAAGGGCGCGUAGGCGGCCAGGUGCGUCGGGUGUGAAAGCCCCGGGCUCAACCUGGGAGGUGCACUUGAUACGGGCUGGCUGGAAUCCGGGAGAGGAUGGUGGAAUUCCCAGUGUACAGGUGAAAUUCGUAGAUAUUGGGAAGAACACCGAUGGGGAAGGCAGCUAUCUGGACCGGGAUUGACGCUGAGACACGAAAGCGUGGGGAGCAAACACG
rnacentral:rRNA from 1 species